UACGUAGGGUGCAAGCGUUGUCCGGAAUUAUUGGGCGUAAAGAGCUCGUAGGCGGUUUGUCGCGUCUGCUGUGAAAACCCGAGGCUCAACCUCGGGCCUGCAGUGGGUACGGGCAGACUAGAGUGCGGUAGGGGAGAUUGGAAUUCCUGGUGUAGCGGUGGAAUGCGCAGAUAUCAGGAGGAACACCAAUGGCGAAGGCGACACGCUGGGCCGUACCUGACACUGAGGCGCGAUAGCAUGGGGAGCAAACAGG
rnacentral:rRNA from 1 species